rnacentral:rRNA from 1 species
GACGAACGCUGGCGGCGUGCUUAACACAUGCAAGUCGAACGGAAAGGCCCUGCUUUUGUGCGGUGCUCGAGUGGCGAACGGGUGAGUAACACGUGAGUAACCUGCCCUUGACUUUGGGAUAACUUCAGGAAACUGGGGCUAAUACCGGAUAGGAUCUCCCGCUGCAUGGUGGGCGUUGGAAAGUUUCGGCGGUUGGGGAUGGACCCGCGGCUUAUCAGCUUGUUGGUGGGGUAGUGGUAUACCAAGGCUUUGACGGGUAGCCGGCCUUGGAGGGUGACCGGCCACAUUGGGACUGAGAUACGGACCAGGCUCCUACGGGAGGCAGCGGUGGGAAAUAUGACACAAUCGGAGGGAGCCUGAUGCAGCAGCGCCGCGGGCGGGAUGACGGCCUUCGGGUUAUGAACCGCAUUCGCCUGUGACGAAGCGGGAGUGACGGUAAUGGGUAAAGAAGCACCGGCUAACUUCGUG